rnacentral:miRNA from 1 species
UUAAAUAUCUGUGUGUGAAAUU